AUUGAACGCUGGCGGCAGGCUUAACACAUGCAAGUCGAGCGGAGCGAGGGUGCUUGCACCUUAGCUUAGCGGCGGACGGGUGAGUAAUGCUUAGGAAUCUGCCUAUUAGUGGGGGACAACAUUCCGAAAGGAAUGCUAAUACCGCAUACGCCCUACGGGGGAAAGCAGGGGAUCUUCGGACCUUGCGCUAAUAGAUGAGCCUAAGUCGGAUUAGCUAGUUGGUGGGGUAAAGGCCUACCAAGGCGACGAUCUGUAGCGGGUCUGAGAGGAUGAUCCGCCACACUGGGACUGAGACACGGCCCAGACUCCUACGGGAGGCAGCAGUGGGGAAUAUUGGACAAUGGGCGGAAGCCUGAUCCAGCCAUGCCGCGUGUGUGAAGAAGGCCUUUUGGUUGUAAAGCACUUUAAGCGAGGAGGAGGCUCUUAAGGUUAAUACCCUUGAUGAGUGGACGUUACUCGCAGAAUAAGCACCGGCUAACUCUGUGCCAGCCGCCGCCGUAAUAC
rnacentral:rRNA from 1 species